AACGAACGCUGGCGGCGCGUCUUAAACAUGCAAGUCGGACGGGAACCCUGGUGCUUGCAUUGGGGGGAGAGUGGCGAACUGGUGAGUAACACGUGGAUAAUCUGCCUCCAGGAUUGGGAUAACCACUCGAAAGGGUGGCUAAUACCGAAUGAGAUGGUAGUUGCACAGGCAGCAGCCAUUAAAGGUGGGGAUCUUCGGACCUUCCACCUGGAGAUGAGUCCGCGGCCCAUUAGCUUGUUGGCGGGGUAAAAGCCCACCAAGGCGACGAUGGGUAGCCGGCCUGAGAGGGUGAACGGCCACACUGGGACUGAGAUACGGCCCAGACUCCUACGGGAGGCUG
rnacentral:rRNA from 1 species